rnacentral:lncRNA from 1 species
UUUUUUUUAUAAUUAAUGUAUUACAAUUAGAACUAUACUGAUAUUAGCAAUUACAAAUCGAUUGGAAUUUUUCUUGAUAAUUCUACUAUAGCAAUUUCUACCAUCACAUAAUAUUGGAGAGAUAUUUAUUCUAUCCUAAAUUAAGAUAAGAUAAUUAUAUUCCUACUUAAUUUUAUUGAGAGGAAAAUUGAGUUUUAACCAUUUUUGGGACUCGAACCCAUAUCCUCAAUUGCAAAUAGGCUGAUAUUAAUAAUUUGAAAAGGAAUUAAUUUUGUCACAUUUUUAUUUUUAUUUUUUUCCUAUCAUCACCUUUUUUACUUUUACUCGACUUUUCUAAUAGCCACCUGAUCAAGUUACUUGUCUAUUUGAUAAACGUGAUUUCAUUUGGGAUAAUAUUUAGCAUGUUAACAUUAUUUCUCUAUCGAUAAAUUUCAUAGAAUUCCAUACCAAUACCAUUACUUUCUAAUAAUAAUAUGGGUUUGCCUAAGUUAUAUUUAGUAUAACUUACAUUCCAUUAAAAAUCUGUAAAAAUAAAUAAUUAAUAUGUGAGGUCACGAUCUUGUUUUAGCUUAUUUUUAGUGGGUUGUAAGUUACACUAAAUGAAACUUAGGGAGAGCUUAACAAUAUUAGUUUGUUUCCAAGAUGUAUGGAUGUCAAGAUAUUUUCUUGAGUGCAAAUAUUUGUAUUUUUUAAAAGAUUGAACCUAUUUAUACUUUACGACAUACUUUGAAUAUUCUUUUACUUGCAUACACAUUUGGUACAUUUUUUAAAUUAAUUUAUUCCAUACACCUUUAAAGUUACCAAAACACCUCUCAGUUUGUUCUCUCCAAAACCAGAAAAAUAAAUUUCAUACCAAGAACUUAAUCAACAGUGCGAUUCCUCGCAACUCUACCACUAGAGAAUGCAUCUCCUUUUAGUUAUUGCUCCAACGGAUGGGAGGAUGCUAAGAGGGUGAAGCGACACAAAAUUCUUAAAUAGUUAAAUGUAAUAUAUAUAUUUAUGCUUGAACAUACUGCGAAAAGGGGAGCUACUAAAAUUGGCUGCUAUGCCAACUUGUGAUAGAACUGGAAUCUUGAGAUAUUUCUUAUCAUUGCAGAUAAAUGUCGUUGAUUCAACAUAUUUUAUCGGUUGCAAAAUUAUUAAAAAUUUGGUGGCUUUAGAGACGUAAGCAGCAAGGAAGCCAAUUUUCAAGAUGACCAAUAUGGAUGAUGUAGAUGCCUAGAUGGUAUCAUGGCUUUGGCACCUGUCGUGUUUGAAAAAAUGAUGGGGUUUCUAUAUAUAGUAUAAAAAGUUUAAAUUAGGCAAUUAGCCCUUCACACUUAAUUUAUAAUUUUUUAUUUUGAAUAAAAAUGUUAUUUUAUAGUUCUCGCUAACAUUAAUGUCAAAGGAUAAUCAUGAAUGAAUGAAAUAAUAAUAAUAAUAAUAAUUGACCAUGCACAAUUAAUCCAUAACUUAAAUAUUUGAAGUUUGAACUUGGCUGUUAUAGAAUUUUACUCUGAGCUCCUUACUGGAAGAAACUGAUCAAAUAAAAUUAGAAAAAUUAAAAUUUAGCUUUCUGUUUAUAUUACUUUACGUUGAAUAUGUGUUUUUUUGUUAAGGGUUAAUUUUGGAUUAAUUCUCUUGAAAUGAUAAUUUUUAAAAUGCCGUUUAAGUAUUGGAAACCUUAAUUUACCUCUCAUUUAUA